rnacentral:misc_RNA from 1 species
CCACCCUCAAGCACAGCUUGGUGUUGGGCGCCUGUCCAGCCUCGCGGCGCGGACUCGCCUCAAAACGAUUGGCGGCCCUUCCAGCGGCUCUGAGCGCAGCAGAAUUGCGUCUCUGGCGGCGGGGAGCGGCAACCAGAAGCUUAAUUUUUUCA